AAUAAAAAUGGGAUUACCUUAUUUUUAUCAUGCUAGCUCUGAAGAGGUAGUCAAGUUGACAAAAGAAAAAGUGAGAUGUAUUUUGAGAAGGGGGAAGGCAGAAUAGCUUAAGUCAGCUUCAUUUUUUUAAGUGUCCAAGUACAGAGACUCCCGUUGCUUUGUCUGACUGAGGCCUUUAAUUUUGUGCCUGUAUUUGGAGGCUGAAUGCCUCUGUGCAUCAGCCUUUCUGCCUAUGAAAUAAGGCUAAUAAUACAGAUGUAGCACUGAGCAAAGCCAUAAGGAUUAAUUAAUAAAACAUGAUUGCUAAACCCACUGCAAACAUGAAGCAUGGUCUGAAGCUACUUGGCUAGAAAGUAAUAAAGUGAAGCCUCUAAAAGAUCUUGGUGGGGCUGCUGCAGGCUGAGUGCCUUACUGCAUCUUUCCAGCAUCCAGGCGAGCACGGCCUGCUCUGUGCCCUCACCAUGGAGAUCUUACCCCAAUCCCACACCACAAGUGCCUCCCUGAGGGCUCAAUACCCACAUGUGCUUCUCUCUCCUUCCACUGCACCUGCUGUUCCUCUGAAUGCUGGCUCAUCUCAGGUGCUGGAUUUUGAUUCCACCUUUCUCACAAUGGUAUUUCUCCUCUCAAUUGUCUCAGCAAAAACUGUUCUUCCUAUAGUAGAAAGAAGUCCCCAUCAUGCUCUUCACCCAGCAAAGUGGCAGGCCUUGCUGCUGCUUCUUCCUCACCUCUCUAGUAUCUGUCUGUCUGUCUGUUUGUGUCUGUCUCUCCCCUCCCUCUGUGCCCACAAAUGUGCAUGUGGUAAGAUUACAAUGAUUGAUUGAGUACCGCGUGACAAGAGAGAAUACCUUCUCCAGGAAGUGGAUUCUAAAAUACUAAUUGGGCUCAGUUAAAAAAAUUCAAUUUCAUUGAAACAACUAUUUAUCACACAUGUGUUUCUGGAAAACACUGCACACGCUAUAGUGUGGAACAAGGUGACAAGCUCAGGCCCUUGCCCUCAAGGAACAAUAACUUAAGCAGAGCCACGAUGAUCUAUAAGACAUAAGAAAGAGAAAGAUAGAUAUCAUCCUAAUAAAAGGAAGGAAGGAUAGAUGAAAAGAAUAGACAGAAAGAAGCCUUACAUCUAUAGAGUGACAGGCAUGUCCCCAUCGGAACACUAAAUGCUUCCAUAUACGUUACUGAAGUGAAACUUUCCAACUACUCUAUGGGGUAGUAUCAUUUUUACCAUGUUAAAAGCAACAAUCAGAAAAGUAAUUUUCCUAAUUUGUCAGUUUUUAUGGUAGAGUAUGAAGUCAAGAGCACAUUCACAAUACAAAAUCUAGGGUUCUGUUGGUAGUGGCAAAUACACCACUACUCAGAGCUAUGCAAGAAAUAACACAUUAUAUAAAUUAAAAUAUAGAGUAUAAAUCUUUGAGGGGAUUGGUGUGAAUACUUUUAAACUGUCAGCAUUACAUUAACCCAUGCAGUUGCACAGCUGCUAAGUGGCUAACUGGAAACACGUUCUAAGAAUAAUAUGACAUGAAGCAGCACCCCAACUUCUCUAAUAGGUAUCAGAACAAGUAGUUUAGGAGUUCCCGUUGUGGCUCAGUGGGUUAAGGAUCCAGCAUUUCCAUGAGCUGCAGUAUAGGUCACAGACGCAGCUUGGAUCUGUCAUUGCUGUGGCUGUGGCAUAGACUGGCAGCUACAGCUCUGAUUUGACCCCCAAUACAACUGAAUGUCAUGAACCACAACUUUUAAAAGGAUAUGAAACUAGAAUGUAUUACAGGAAUAAGUAAAACAUGCACAAUUUAUAAGGUAGGAUUCGAUGUUAAAGAUAAUCCAUCUUAGCUAAGAUAAACGGCCAAGGUGUUAAUACCUAAAGGUGUUAACACCUAUUUUCUAAUAUUAUUUUAAUUAAUUUAAUUUUCCAUUAAAUAUCAAAUGAGUAGCCUACUGUCUAUUUCAGAGCAGACAGGGCAUCUGAUAUUCUUAGUAGCUGUGAUUUUCCCUAAGGGUUUAAUGAGUCUGUGUAAUAUUUGUACAAAGUAAUAUUAUCAUUAUCAUAAAUGUUUUCUAAUUAUUUCUUGGGAUUAAUGGAAACAUGCUGUAUUAUUGAUGGAUUAAGUACAAUAUUUAUAAAACAGUGAUAGGAUUAAAGAGAAAUAAAUAUGUAUAUCUUUCUGCAUGUGUAAAUAAUAAAUAUUAAUUCUCGUCAUCAAUUUUGUGCAAAGUGGUUUAGUACAUACUAAUAACUACUAAAUAGUUCAGUUAUCUGUUGUGGAUUUGAGGUAUGAACAGGCUGCUUUUUUAUCCACAAGCUAAAGGAAUUCGGUAAAGUCCUUGAGGACUGUAAAAGGCCAGGAUCUGAGACAUGGACUCAAGAAAUAACUGUAGGAUUUUCAGAAAAUAAAGGAAAUAUACCCAAUAAACUUUCAAGGGGAAGGAACUUCAAAAACUUCUCUCGACAAUGAAAAUAAAGAACUUUUACCAAGAAAAAAUUAAAAUCCCAAGAUGUAUCAUAAAUCUACACAGCAAAUAGUCAUGUGUAUACAGUUUUGGUUGACAUAUAUGCAUAUUAUUUAUAAUAUAGAGGCUCUUUAACACCAUGUUUUGACCUGUGUGAUCUAUUCUUUUCUCUAUACCAUUUGUGCAAGCUUCCUGCAGACAGCAUUGAAGCAUUUAUGUGACAGACUGUAAACCAACCAGGACUGGAAGACAGAAGAUAUGGCUUGGAAUUUAGACUGCAGCGUAAGGGCUGAGAGACGUUUGGAGACAGUAAUGGUGUGCAUCACUAGCUUAUUCUCUUGCCAUCAUUUUCAAUAACUAGGUCAAUCCUUUAUGGCAAGGACUUGGUUUUGAUAUAAAUGCAAAGCUAUUUAUCCUCCAGAACGGAAAAGUGUAAUACCUUUUAAGCCUAAGAUAUGAACCAUUCAAGAAACAUAUGUUUGCUGAUGAGGUUUUGAAGAAAUUACAACAGUGAACUGAUGGAAAUCACUUACACAAAUAGAUUCAUAAGAGACUACCAAAGUGAUAAUACAGUUUUAAAUCACAAUGCCAUCUUUGGUAGGUGUAGAGUUGUUUUUCCUUUGAAUUAAUUUAUUCUAAGAUAAGACAUAAUGGUUCAGGAAUUAGAAAAAAAAAUACGAAAGCUCUUUGCUUUCUAUUCUAGUUUAUGAAUACAUAGGAGUUUGAGUAGCAUAACCUUCCUGUAUUUCCCAUUUGAUUAACAGGAUCAAUUUAAUUUCUGUUUUAAAUAAGUCUGUUUCUAACACAUUAUUCCCUCUUCCUAUGGGCAAAGUUGUUGUCAGUAACUCACGGUUCAUUAUCCUAGUCCUAAGAGAUUUGUUAAGAGUAGAAUAACAUCAGUUGAAGAGAAAACAUUUACAAAAUUAGAUUAUAAAGUCUAGGUCUCAGCAUCCAGGUUGAUUUUUACCAGAAAGUAAUCCAAACAGUGUGGACUUUCCAGUAGUUUGCCAGGGUGACAGGUGGCUGUGUAAUGACAUGCACAGAUGUUUGUGAAUACAGGAGGCAUUUCUGGGUCACCCCAGAAGUUUGAGCCUUCACCCCAGGCAUCCCAAAGGUGCAAGCAACCUUUCCAAACCUUCACCUGUCCCAGAGGAUCCAGAAUGCCCAUGACCCAAAGUUUGCUAAAGCAUCUGUUCUUAUUGCAGGGCUAACUUUUAAAAAAUGGUCAUGUUGCCAGAUCAACAUGAGAAUAAAUAUUGUUUCUUAAUGUAAAGGAAUUUGUAAAAACCUGUCCAAGCAAGAAAUGAUCAUUUAUGCUUUUUGCUGUUUAUGGGAAAUAAGGUUUAGUAUCAUAUUUCUCUAAGCAAUUUUAAGUCCUGUUUAUAUUUCCAAUCUAAUUUAGUUCACAAAACAUAUGUCUAAUCAGCUUAUUAGUGCUCCAUGGCCACCCAAAUUGAGAAUAAAGGCACCCUCUAAGUAUCUAAGAUGCCUGAUUAACUGGUACCCAGGCAACAAGAGUGAUGAAAACAGGUACAAAUCAAAUUCAAGAGGCAGAAAGUAGAGCGAUCAGGGCUGCAGAAGAUUGGUGAUCUGUGUGUAGGUUGCCUCUUGGAAAUCUUAUUCAUCACCAGAGUCAGAUUUAAUCAGGAUUGGUCAAAUUUAGGAAGUAAGAGGCUUUAUCUUUUAUAGGCCAGGUCAUUUAUUCUCCCAAUUUAAUGAAACCUUAGCUGUCUAGGAGUGUGUGUUAGCUUAACAGAGAUUAUUAGAAAAGGAAUAUGAUCCUAUAAAUAAAUUAGCAUAAAGAUUUGAAACUAACUAUAAAUAUACUGUUAUAUUAAAAUAUAGUGGAUAACAGUGGUUCUUUGAGCCCGGUCCUCAAACCAACAGCAUCAGCCAACACCUGGAAACUUAUUAGAAGUGAAAAUUCUUGGACUCUGUCUCAUGCUUCUUUAAUCCAAAACACUAGGGGUGGAGCCCAGCAACUUGCUUUCAAUGAGGAGCAUUGCAGAGAAAUUUAUGUCCUUAAAUUUGAAUCAGAGGCAUAUUUAUUCCUGGCCAUUUCCAUAUAGAAAUUAAUUUAACCUUCAGUUCAUUGGAAACUUAAGUCAGCUCUAAUAUUCUAAUCCUUGAUCAUACCUGUUGAUUAAAACAUUGUAGUUAUCUUUUCUAUCACAAUAUUUAGAAACUUAUUGAUAUUAAUAUUUAGAACAGCAUCUGAUUAAAUACCACAGGGGUUUAAUUGUGGUUACAAUUCUAGCAAAAUAUUUUAAAUAGCAAGAAUAUAAGAUAGGUGCUUUAAUGUUUCUAAGCCACAGCCAGUAUACUGGCUUUAACAUACCUAUUAGGAAUUAUGUCAGAAAAUAAAAAAUAAUGUCAAAAUUGCACAAUAUCACAUUAACUAUUCAGAAAUAUUUAAGAUCUGGUGUGACUUGAGAAUAGAAUACCAAAUAUCUGUUUAUAGAAGUCUCCUGUGGAGUUGAGGUGGAGAACUGCAGGGCAGAAUAAUAUUCUCAAAUCUCUU
rnacentral:lncRNA from 1 species